rnacentral:lncRNA from 1 species
GUCCUAGUUUGCCCCACCGAAAAUUUGAUCAUUGUUUUGCUUGUCCAUGAAUUGGCCAACUUUUGUUGAAAACAUGAACUCAAGUUGGCUAAAGAACAUUGACAUGUCAAAUAAUUGGCAACCAUCCAAACAAAAACCAACUUUUGGUCAAUGAUAAAAAAAUUGGAUUGGUACAUGUGUUGGCUACAAUAGAAACAUACUCAUAUAUAGGCUUGUCGUGCGGGCGUG